rnacentral:rRNA from 1 species
GAUGAAGAACGCAGCGAAAUGCGAUACGUAGUGUGAAUUGCAGAAUUCAGUGAAUCAUCGAAUCUUUGAACGCACAUUGCGCCCUUUGGUAUUCCAAAGGGCAUGCCUGUUCGAGCGUCAUUUGUACCCUCAAGCUUUGCUUGGUGUUGGGCGUUUUUUGUCUUUGGUUGCCAAAGACUCGCCUUAAAAGGAUUGGCAGCCGGCCUACUGGUUUCGCAGCGCAGCACAUUUUUGCGCUUGCAAUCAGCAAAAGAGGACGGCAAUCCAUCAAGACUCCUUCUCACGUUUGACCUCGGAUCAAGUAGGGAUACCCGCUGAACUUAAGCAUAUCAAUA